GGGGAAUUUUCCGCAAUGGGCGAAAGCCUGACGGAGCAAUACCGCGUGAGGGAGGAAGGCUCUUGGGUUGUAAACCUCUUUUCUCAAGGAAGAAAAAAAUGACGGUACUUGAGGAAUAAGCAUCGGCUAACUCCGUGCCAGCAGCCGCGGUAAUACGGAGGAUGCAAGCGUUAUCCGGAAUGAUUGGGCGUAAAGCGUCCGCAGGUGGCUWUGUAAGUCUGCUGUUAAAGAGUCUGGCUCAACCAGAUAAAGGCAGUGGAAACUACAUGGCUAGAGUGCGUUCGGGGCAGAGGGAAUUCCUGGUGUAGCGGUGAAAUGCGUAGAGAUCAGGAAGAACACCGGUGGCGAAAGCGCUCUGCUAGGCCGCAACUGACACUGAGGGACGAAAGCUAGGGGAGCGAAUGGGAUUAGAUACCCCAGUAGUCCUAGCCGUAAACGAUGGAUACUAGGCGUGGCUUGUAUCGACCCGAGCCGUGCCGUAGCUAACGCGUUAAGUAUCCCGCCUGGGGAGUACGCAGGCAACUGUGAAACUCAAAGGAAUUGACGGGGGCCCGCACAAGCGGUGGAGUAUGUGGUUUAAUUCGAUGCAACGCGAAGAACCUUACCAGGACUUGACAUGUCGCGAAUUUCUGUGAAAGCAGAAAGUGCCUUCGGGAGCGCGAACACAGGUGGUGCAUGGCUGUCGUCAGCUCGUGUCGUGAGAUGUUGGGUUAAGUCCCGCAACGAGCGCAACCCUCGUUUUUAGUUGCCAGCAUUAAGUUGGGCACUCUAGAGAGACUGCCGGUGACAAACCGGAGGAAGGUGGGGAUGACGUCAAGUCAGCAUGCCCCUUACGUUCUGGGCUACACACGUACUACAAUGCUACGGACAAAGGGCAGCAAGCAUGCGAAUGCAAGCUAAUCUCAUAAACCGUGGCUCAGUUCAGAUCGCAGGCUGCAACUCGCCUGCGUGAAGGAGGAAUCGCUAGUAAUUGCAGGUCAGCAUACUGCAGUGAAUUCGUUCCCGGGCCUUGUACACACCGCCCGUCACACCAUGGAAGCUGGUAGUGCCCGAAGUCAUUACCCCAACCGCUUGCGGAGGGGGAUGCCUAAGGCAGGACUGGUGACUGGGGUGAAGUCGUAACAAGGUAGCCGUACCGGAAGGUGUGGCUGGAUCACCUUCU
rnacentral:rRNA from 1 species